NNNNNNNNNNNNNNNNNNNNNGGCCGGGCCGGCCUGCUGGGUGGGGGAGACGCGGCCUGGGAGCCGGCCCACCCACCGCGAGCGGGGCGGGAGCCAGCGGGAUGAGCUGCGGUGGCCGGGCCGGGGCGGCAGCGGGCUCCCGCGGGGGCUCUCGGGACCUGCCCGCCUGCCCGGCCAGCCCUGGGUGGGAGCAGAGCUGGGGCAGGUGGCCGGCUGCCCUUCCAGCCUGGGGGCUGCAUUCGUGCCCCCCAGCUGCACCCGGCCUCCUGCGGGGCGGGGGGCAGCCGCUGGGCUGUGGGUAGGGGGCAGCUGCGGCUCCCCCCACCCCUGGCCUGGGCCGGCGGGUAGCGCUGAGCGGCGGGAGGGGCAGGGGCUGUUCCCCGGCUGCAGGCAGCAUGGGGGGUUUGCCCCGUGGCCCCGUGCGUUCGGGUUUCUCUCGAGGGCUGAGACCGCCCGGCUCCGCCCUGCUGGUGCCUGGUGGGGAGAGCUGGCGGCUUUGCUCCCGCAGCCCCGGCCCCCGCCUUGGCUGGGGCUCCCCAGGGGGAGGCGGCCGCGGCCGCGCCCGGGCCAGCACAUUCCCAGCCGGGCCGCGAGCCCCGUGGCGCGGGGGAAAGCCCUGGCCGGGGUCUGUGGGAACCAGACGGCCCCUGGGCACCGCUCGGCAGGGCUCGCUUCCUCCCGUGCCCCCGGGGACUGUGGGAAGGCGGGAGCCGAGGUCAGCCGCUCCGGGCAGGCCAGCGGCGUGGCCCGCGCCAGCGCGACCGCGUUCCCAACCCGUCUUUUUUCACUGGGGAAAUAAAAAUGCAAGGAAGGGGCGACGAUCCAGCCUGGGCCCUGCUCCCGCGCCCCUGCGGCGCAGAGCCGGGCUGUGGGGGCGGCGGGAGCCGAUAAGGGGUGACGUGGCUCUGGGCACUGCUGGUCUCCGAGUGACGCCAGCGCCUCCCCUCCCCGUGGGCUCCCUCCGGCUCCGAGGCAAGGGAGCGGCUGGAGGGCCCCGCGACCCUCGGCGCCUUCCCCGCCGUGCCCCUCGCCACCCUGGUUGGUGGCAGCCUGGGCGCUGCGUCCCCGCUUCCUGGAGGGGACAGCCCCCGCGUCCCGCGUGCAGCGCCCGGGAUGGGGCUGCUGGGCUGCGGGGCUCAUCCCCUGCAGCGCGGCCAGCUGUCCGGGCGCGGCCGGAGGGGCCUGUUGGCCACGCAGCAGGCUUCGGCCCGCGUGCCGGACCUCCGUGCUGCCUCCCUGUCGGGACCGGUGUUUGCGGUGCCGCCCUUGGCACCGCGCAGGCGGGUGGAGAAGGGCUCUGGGUGUGUCCCAGACACCGCUCUCCUUGGCUGCGCUCCGUGCGGGUCUGGCGAGAUCCCACGGGAAGGCGCAGCCCAAGCCGGGGCCCGGCUCUUGGACCCAGCCUCGUGGGGUGCUGGCCUUGCCCAGAGCCGCACAGGGGGAUAGAAGCGAAUGCCCGGCUGGGCAGGGGCGCUCGCGGGAGCCUGCGGGCAGGGAAGCAGCCCGGGCAUCCUCUCCGGAAACCCGCUGGUUUAGCUGUCCUGCUGCUGGCAGGCUGUCCUGUUCCCCAUCCUGUCGGUCACGGCUGCGGCCGAUGCCCCUUCCUCUCCCGGCACUGCCCCGUCUGGGAGAGGGCGGAGGGCCAGAUCCUGCGGCCCAGGAGCCGUGCCACCUCGUGCGGUGCGUGCCGAGCUCGUGCCCUGCUUUGUCCCUGCCUCCCCCACCCCGGUGCCUGGUGGCGGUUCCUGGUGGCUUCUGGCGAAGGGGCUUCGGCCCCGGGCCCGGCUCUGCCCGACACCAGCCCGGCUGCCCGCACGAGGCGCCCCGCCCCGGCUGGGGGAGCAGGACGCGGGAGGGUUGCGGGGCCGCUGGUCAGCCGAGACCAGCCCCUCGUGGGCACCCUGGCCGGGCGCCCGGCACGGAUCCUGGGGGCCGAGGGCACGGCUGC
ensembl:lncRNA